UAAAACUGAAUUCUACUAAUCAUUUUUCAAACAUGUAAGCAAUGGUCUCGAGGAUGGAAUAAGGAAAAUGUGAGGAAAGAAUUUUCCAAGACAAAUGAGAUCAUGGAAGAUUAAUGGGAGGAAACAUUAUUGAAUUGGACCUCCACUCCACUCAUGAAUCAUCACCCAUCGUAUAACAGUAACUUAAAACCUGCCAUUAUCAUGUCAUGUCAAGAAGCAAAAUAAUGAUAGCCCUAGAACAGUCUACAGAAGAGUCAAAGAGUUCGAGAAUCAAAGAAGCCUAAUCUAGAGGAAACCAAGAUGGUUAACUAUUAAGGCAAUGACUAAGGAAAUCGGAUAUUUGAUCCUUCGAAGUACUUAUUUAUAUCCUAGUAAGAUGAAUAAGAGUAUUUUAGGGCCAUUAUGAGUUCAUGUGCGAACUACGUUUGACCUGAAUUCUCAAGAAUGAGAUACGUAGGCGGCCUAUGUCGUCUUCGGUCAACCCGUUAGGAAAAUUUAUCCUUUCCUUUUAU
rnacentral:lncRNA from 1 species